ensembl:lncRNA
AAAAUGCGGCACUGUUACACCGCGCAGCCACGUCCCGCUCGGCCGGCAGCGCGGGGCGCUGCGUGGUGAACACCUGAGUGGGGAUUAACGCCCCGCGCGGUGCCGACGUGUCCCCUCUGCCGGACAGGGACAGACAGCGGCCACCGACCGCUCAGCCCCACCGACACGUGGAGCAGCGCCGUGGGGCUCCGUGUGCUCCUCCGCCAUCCAGGAGCGGCGCUGACCCUGCGAGCAGCGCAGGGAAGUGCGCAGCUCCCCCCCGAGCAGCACCAACCCGAACCCCAGACAGCACAGCGCCCGCAGAGCGGCAGUGCUGCACCCCGUGACAGCGGGGUCCGGAGUCACGGCGGUUGUUUUGGGGAGCCCCAUCCUCCGCCUCCAUUGGGGACCCUCAGCCCGGGGCUGCGGCCCCCGCGGGACACCAACCGGCGGGGUGGGCUGAGCCGAGCGCUGCUCCGCUGUGCUGCAGUUCUGGGCUGCCCGGCGCGGGCUCUGGGAAAAAAAAAAAAUCAAAAUGAUAAUAAAAAAAGAAAAAAAAAAAAAAAGGAAAAUAUAAAUAAAUAAAUAAAACCACUCAACACGUUCAGAUAUUUUUGGCGCACGGAAACAGAAAGAAGGCAAAAAUAAAAAGCUCGAAGGUGCGCGCCGAUCCCCGCCGAAAGCCGCAGUGCGCGGAGCUGCGCUGACCCGGAGCGGCGCUCCCUUCGGGGGAUGCACAGUCGGAACGCGCUGGGAACGGAUGGAUGGGCUCAGCUUUCCCCGCUCCCGCAGCGCUGCGGCUCCGCCGAACCCCUCGUCCUGCGAGGAGGUCAAGGCCUCUCGGAGCAAUCUUUUCCUAAUAAAGAGUGUGAUCGAAGCGCUCCUUCCCCCCCCCCCGCUCCCCGCGAAGGGCCGCGGAAGGGGCCGUAAACGCAGAGCCGCUGCGGAUCGAUGGAGAGAAGCCCGGAUUGAUCGGCCUCUAAAAUUAAAUUUGUUGGGGUCAUGGUUUUAUAUGGUGCUGAUACAACUGUUAAAUGGGGAACAUUCAUUUCCAAUAGGAGGCGUUUAUUAAACUUCCACUGAAUUAGACCGCCGUGAUUUAUGUGGCAAUCUCGGCACAGCCCUCCAGGAGGGAAAGGGAGAGGCAGAGAGGGCCCUUCCGCGGCCGUCUCCGGGCGGUUAUUUAUUUAUCCCCACCCCCACCCCCCCGUGCCACGGCUCCAUAAGUUUUAACCGAAAUGAUCCGCCGGGCUCAGCCGGGAGCGGAACCGCCCGCGGGUCCCGUCGGGGCGCCCCGCACCGCCCCGCACCGCGCAGCCCCGGGGGUGGGGGGGUCGGGGGGGCCCCGCAAACGUCCCCGCUCCCGCGUGCGGCGAUCGUUGAGCGUUAAUUAGAAAUUCAUUACAAUUAAAAGCCGCGCGCACACGCCUUAAUUACAUCUGAUUUUUAAUUCCGAAUCCGUGUUUACACAGUAAGCGAGACGUACCUCCUGAUUAUCCCCAAUACUCUUUAUACUGUACUAAUUAUGUAAAUUAAACCUAAUUAACUGACAAAAACUGCAGUCAAUUCAACUGUUCGAAGAUAGCGGAGGCGGCGAGGAGCGGAGGAGCCGCGGCCGUUCCGCGCUGUCGGGGCGGUGCGGUGCGGUGCGGUGCUGCGGGGCGCGGGAGCGGAGACGGCGGAGGGGGACGCGGUGGAGCCGCGGAUUUGAGCCCCUCGGGGCCCCCCGACGUGCGGCCUCCCCGGUGG